UACGGAGGGAGCUAGCGUUGUUCGGAAUUACUGGGCGUAAAGCGCAUGUAGGCGGCUUUGCAAGUUAGAGGUGAAAGCCUGGAGCUCAACUCCAGAACUGCCUUUAAAACUGCAUCGCUUGAAUCCGGGAGAGGUGAGUGGAAUUCCGAGUGUAGAGGUGAAAUUCGUAGAUAUUCGGAAGAACACCAGUGGCGAAGGCGGCUCACUGGACCGGUAUUGACGCUGAAGAGCGAAAGCGUGGGGAGCAAACAGG
rnacentral:rRNA from 1 species